GAUGAACGUUGGCGGCGUGCUUAACACAUGCAAGUCGAACGGUGAACCCGGAGCUUGCUCUGUGGGAUCAGUGGCGAACGGGUGAGUAACACGUGAGCAACCUGCCCCUGACUCUGGGAUAAGCGCUGGAAACGGCGUCUAAUACUGGAUAUGUGACGUGACCGCAUGGUCUGCGUUUGGAAAGAUUUUUCGGUUGGGGAUGGGCUCGCGGCCUAUCAGCUUGUUGGUGAGGUAAUGGCUCACCAAGGCGUCGACGGGUAGCCGGCCUGAGAGGGUGACCGGCCACACUGGGAUUGAGACACGGCCCAGACUCCUACGGGAGGCAGCAGUGGGGAAUAUUGCACAAUGGGCGAAAGCCUGAUGCAGCAACGCCGCGUGAGGGAUGACGGCCUUCGGGUUGUAAACCUUUUUUAGCAGGGAAGAAGCGAAAGUGACGGUACCUGCAGAAAAAGCGCCGGCUAACUACGUG
rnacentral:rRNA from 1 species